GUUUUCCAUUUUGCGGGUGGUAAAACUACUGUGCACGUCGUUCAAAUUCAUUGAAAUUUCGUUUACUUGUAGUUUAGCAAUUAAACUAAAUGUAUAUUACAAUUUCAAGAAUGUUUUCUGCACAUCGCCUGAGGAAAUCCGAAGUUGCUUCGAGGGGAACCAAACUUACAGCCGUGACAGCGGAGAUUAUCACGUACCUACAAGGCUUGCGUCUGACCUGCAGCUAUCAUUCUGGCUUGGUGGGAUGUCAGCGAGUCCUCUGAUUCUGACGGUGUUCUUUUACUACUCAGAGUCUUAAACAAGGAGGGCAUAUUACGUGUUCAUUGUAUUUUCAUUUUCACCGAGCAGCUAUGGUUGCGCGUUUCACACACAAACACACACCUCUCCAGAGCACGUUGACACUGACUGACGGACGCAUGCGCUUUUAACUUGUAAACGCAAGGGUGUAUGGGUAAUGUAGUCUCUGCUCGCGGUGGGACGAAUUAGGAAGUGUACAUUAAGGGCGCUCUGAAAAGCGUCAGCGCAGCCAAAUGAUUAAAUUAAACCUCUGAUUUUUAAACAGAUGUGCAAAUGAGCGUUCCGGUACGCUAAAAGCACGUUCUGGGCGCACGGAGAGGUGGUGAUUCGCAGCUGGACACAUCCUUCUACACUGUAUGCAAACAUGCAACAUCAUUACACACAGUACAAGGAGUUAGACUGGCAUAUGAGGAGCAAAGGAACCCAGGCAGUAGCAUCGUUUCACAAUGUUUCCAUCACCAUCAUCAGUGGAUGCCUUUGCCGUCCGUAGCCUGAGAUUUCAGAUUUGCA